UGGGGAAUCUUGGACAAUGGGGGCAACCCUGAUCCAGCCAUGCCGCGUGAGUGAUGAAGGCCUUAGGGUCGUAAAGCUCUUUCGCCUGUGAAGAUAAUGACGGUAGCAGGUAAAGAAACCCCGGCUAACUCCGUGCCAGCAGCCGCGGUAAUACGGAGGGGGUUAGCGUUGUUCGGAAUUACUGGGCGUAAAGCGCACGUAGGCGGACCAGAAAGUUGGGGGUGAAAUCCCGGGGGCUCAACCCCGGAACUGCCUCCAAAACUAUUGGUCUAGAGUUCGAGAGAGGUGAGUGGAAUUCCAAGUGUAGAGGUGAAAUUCGUAGAUAUUUGGAGGAACACCAGUGGCGAAGGCGGCUCACUGGCUCGAUACUGACGCUGAGGUGCGAAAGUGUGGGGAGCAAACAGGAUUAGAUACCCUGGGUAGUCCACGCCGUAAAACGAUGUCUACUAGCCGUUGGGAGACUUGAUUUCUUAGUGGCGCAGCUAACGCAC
rnacentral:rRNA from 1 species